rnacentral:sRNA from 1 species
AGGUUCCACCCUUUUCUGGGAAAGUGAGUAUCAACCAAGAAUGAAUCUCGCUGUGUUGUCCAGGCUGGAGUGCAGUGGCACCAUCUCGGCUCACUGCAACCUCUAGCUCCCAGGUUCAAGCGAUUCUCCUGACUCAGCCCCCUGAGUAGCUGGGAUUACAGGCACGCGCCACCACUCCCAGUUCACACCCCGCCACUCCUGAGCACCGCACACCGGCUUCCUCCCAGUCCCUCAUCUGAGAACUCAUGAAGCCACUUGGAAUCCCUCUCUGCUUUGCCUGGCUCAUUCCAUGUCAAUUUCAGAUCUUCGCUUCAGGUCAGCUCCAAGGAGGCUAUCCUUGCCCAUCUUCCUAAAAUAGAGCUCUCAAAACCUGGCUGUUUUCCUUCAGAGCACUGGCCUCCAAUUGUAAGUAGAUAUUUAUCUGUUUACUACGUGUCUCCAUCACUAGGCUAUACACUUCAGGAGGGGAGAAUUUUUUGUUUUGGUUCUCUGCCAUAAGAGUGCAUGGUAUUUACUAAGCAUGAAAUAAAUAGUUGUUGGGGGGAAAAAGAAU